AAAAAAAUAAAUUAAAUAAAGAGGAUCAGGAUGAUUAUAAAAUGAAACACUAUCACGUUUUAUACUUCUUAUUGUUUUGCGUGCGUCAAACGUUUAUUUGCCACCUGUUGUCAUAAAUAGAAGAAUUUCAAACUAAUUUUAAUUUUUACCCGGUAUCCUUAUUAAAAUUUUCUCAUGUGGAUCUAGACUGAUUUAGCUAGGUCUAGAAAAUUUGAUAUAAAAUCCACA